GGAAGGAUCAUUAAAAAAACAUUAGGAUUUCAUAUUCUUAAAACACCCGCAGUGUACUUGUUCUUGUUGCUUCCGUGGGCAGUAGGCCUUGCGCUUGCGACCUCCUUUCACGGUGGACCCACGGGAGGUAAUCAUAAACUCCAUCAUUAUGUGGUAUCUGUCUGAGCUUGUUUAGUUCAUGAACGUUAAAAACUUUCAACAACGGAUCUCUUGGUUCUCGCAUCGAUGAAGAACGCAGCGAAAUGCGAUAAGUAGUGUGAAUUGCAGAAUUCCCUGAAUCAUCGAAUCUUUGAACGCAUAUUGCGCCUUCCGGCAUUCCGGGAGGCAUGCCUGUUCGAGCGUCAUAUAAACAUCUCGAGCACGAAUUUUUUCAUGCUUGGUAUUGGUCAAGGAUUGAGCCGAUGGCUUGGCUUGUUCCUGUCCGAAAUUUAAUGGCGAGGUCCCAUGUUCCAUUUAGUGUAGUAACUAACAUUAUGUUUCACUUCUGGACUUGAGAGGCUUCUGCCACAAAUCGACCCCCCAAAUCUAAAGUUUGACCUCGGAUCAGGUAGGGAUACCCGCUGAACUUAAGCAUAUCAAUAAGCGGAGGAAAAGAAACCAACAGGGAUUGCCUUAGUAACUGCGAGUGAAGCGGCAAAAGCUCAAAUUUAAAAUCUGGCGCCUGCGGCGUCCGAGUUGUAAUUUGGAGAGACAUUGUCGGGUUGAGCGCCAUCCUAAGUUCCUUGGAACAGGACGUCACAGAGGGUGAGAAUCCCGUGUAUGGAUGGCUGUCUCGGUCUUCGUGUCAUGUCUUCGACGAGUCGAGUUGUUUGGGAAUGCAGCUCAAAAUGGGUGGUAAAUGUCAUCUAAAGCUAAAUAUUGGCGAGAGACCGAUAGCGCACAAGUAGAGUGAUCGAAAGAUGAAAAGCACUUUGAAAAGAGAGUUCAAAAGUACGUGAAAUUGUUGAAAGGGAAGCGCUUGAGACCAGACUCAAUCUGUGGUGAUCAGCAGUGCUUCGGUACUGUGCACUUGCCACUCUUUGGGACAGCAUCGGUUUGAAUGGCGGGAUAAAGGCCUGAGGAAUGUAGCUCUCUUCGGAGAGUGUUAUAGCCUUGAGUGCAAUGCCGCCUAUUCAGACCGAGGACCGCGCUUUUGCUAGGAUGCUGUCAUAAUGGUCUUCAGCGACCCGUCUUGAAACACGGACCAAGGAGUCUAACAUCUAUGCGAGUGUUCGGGUGGAAAACCCUUGCGCGUAAUGAAAGUGAAUGCAGGUGGGAACCUUUUAGGUGUACCAUCGACCGAUCCAAAAGUCUUCGGAUGGAUUUGAGUAAGAGCAUAGCUGUUGGGACCCGAAAGAUGGUGAACUAUGCCUGAAUAGGGUGAAGCCAGAGGAAACUCUGGUGGAGGCUCGCAGCGGUUCUGACGUGCAAAUCGAUCGUCAAAUUUGGGUAUAGGGGCGAAAGACUAAUCGAACCAUCUAGUAGCUGGUUCCUGC
rnacentral:misc_RNA from 1 species